rnacentral:lncRNA from 1 species
GGCAAACUUCAUAAAUUCAAUGGUUUAAAGUUAAAACAAUAUCAUCAAUAGUUUUUUUAUGGUAUUCGUCAUUACCGAUCUGCUAGUUGAUUACCUGAAUGCGACCUAUAACCUACAGAGUUUACAUAUGGGGGUUUACAUCCUCUCAUGAACUCUUACAGGAUAGGUUCACACCAUCAUGUAAGCGAACCCCCACUUUGAGAACACGUGUUAAUUCUGCAAUAAGAUACGAGUUGACAUGUAUGAGAAUCUACCUAAUACAUCACAUCCAUGAACAUGAACCGUAUAAUAGAAAUAGAGAAUUCAACCCCCUUUGAGAGACAGACACACAAAAACACUUUCACUUCGAAGGAAAAUGAUCUAACUAAACAACUUUGAAAAAUGCUCAUUUCAUAUUUCUUUUAAAAAUGUAAAAGGAAACAAACAAAAAAAACAAAAAUCAAGAAAGUUCACCACAAAAAAAUAUUAAAAAACGGGUAAACUAUCAAAAUAGUCACUUUUGUUUGUCUUAGGUUACAUUUUAGUCACUUAUGUUUAAAAUGUUACGUUUUAGUCACUUACGUUAUUGUGUUGUAAUUGAGCGUUAAUUGUCGUUAACGGUAUAACAGUAAGCUGAUAUGGUACAUUAAAUCAUCAUUUCAAAAAACAAAAAUAGGUUAAAUUAUACAAUUGAACCCUAUAUUUUUUUUACUAAAACAAAUUAUUUGAUUCAAUUAAGUUGUUUAUCAAAAUGGUUAUUUGCAUUUGAUGCAAUUCUUGUCUAAAUUAAAAUAUAUUAAAAUUAUUUGAUGUUUUGUAUAAAUUUAAUUUAAUGAUUGAGAGUAUAUAUAAAUUUAAAUCAUUUUAUGCUAUAUGCAAUUUCCCAUAUUAAACAUAAAUGGGAAUGUGUUUAUGGAAUCUAUUAAAUUUUUAUUUAUGAAAUUUAUUUAUAUUAAAUAUUUUUUAGAAACCCAAUCCCAUAAAUAUGGUUUUUUUAUCCGAAUAAUAUAAAUAAUAAUUAAUUACUAAAAAGGUAUGAAAAAUAGAUUAAUUACGAAAAUAAGCAUUUGCUACAAUAUUCUGACGGUGUCGCCUGACAUAUUGGCGGUACCCAUAAAUGUGAUUAUCUAAAAUAUUCAAGAACUUAAUUAUGAAAAUUUACCGUUUUAAUUGACAGCCUCAAAAAGUUAGGCUUUAAGGUGUUGCCUUACAACAUUAAAAAAGGUAAAUUGCUCCAUAAACCCCCAUUGUUUAUUAUUUUCUUUUAUUCUCCUUUAACACCAACAAUAGAAAUGUCUCUUAUCAAUUAGUCCAAAAAGUAUUUUUGUAAAAAAGUUGAUUCCAACUGAAAAUAAAUUUUAUUUAUUUUUCAAAAAAUAUUUUUUUGUUCAAAUUAUGUCUAACAUAACAGUUAACGGUAUUCAUAAUUGUUUUCUUUCACUCACAUUAUAUUUGGAAACUAUAAAUUUAACUAAUAAUUAUAAUUUAUAAACAAUAAUAUUUUUCUAAAGUUUUUAUAAUUAUAAUUUUAUAUCAUGUCUGUAAAUCAAAUUGAUAAUAAAAUUAUAAUUAUUGGUGUUAAAAGGGAAUAAAAGAAAGUAACUAUAAAAAUAUCUUUUUGGUAGAAAAAACUUUUUGGACUAAUUGGUAAGAGACCUCUUUAUUUUUUGUAUUAAAGGAGAAUAAAAGAAAAUAAUAAACAAGAGGGUUUAUGAAUAAAUUUACCCGAUGCCGCCACACUGUCAACUACCAAUUAUAACGGUAAAUUUACAUAUUAGGUCCCUAAAUAUUUCAAGUUAUCACAUUUCAAUUUGGUGUCGCCAAUAUAUCAGGCGGUACUAUCGGAACACUAUAACAAAUGCCUAUUUUAGUACUUAAUUGGUUUUCCAUACCUUUUUCGUAAUUAAUUAUUUUUUAUAUUAUUUGGGUAAAAAAAAACUAAUAAAUAUUCAUUAUUAUAAUAAAAAUCUAAUUAGCAUAUAAUCCACUUAAAAUUUUUAAUUUAUUUCACAAUUUAACUUAUCAACUUUUUAUUUAUUAGUAAAAAAACUUUCUAUUUAAAAAAUUAAAUCUUGAAACAAAUUCAAAAAUUAAAAUUGGUCUCAAAAUCUAUUAAAAACAAAUAGAAUAAAAAGUUGAUUUUUUUUAUUAGUAAAAUACAUUUUACUUAAAAAAAUUAAAUCAUGAAACAAGUUGGAAAAUUAAAAUUAGACUCAAAAUCUAUUAAAAAAAAAGAAACUUUAUCGUAUUUAACAAAAUUGUACACAAUUAAUAAAGUUAAUUUCAUUGAAAAGAAAAUAUAGGAUAUAUAUUUAUUUAUUUUAAAUUUGGACAAUGAACUUGCAUGUGUGUUCAUAUAACACUUAAAAAAUUUGCAAAAAAUAAGUAAAAGUUGAACAUUUUUAAGUUUUUAACAAUAUCUUCAACUUUUAAAUAUGUUUUUAUUUUCAACAAACUAUCGACCGCAUGCAUGCUAGUUUAGCGGGAUGGAAAACCAUACUACUUUCACUAGUUGGUUGUCUCACCACUUUUUUUUUAAAGUGUCCCCAAAAUUUUUACGAUUUACGAAAUUAACUCAGAUGCAAAAUUAUUCACAAAAAUAAUCUAAAAUCUACAAUGCACCUUGAUGCCAGUCAUUUCACCGCCUGCACCACCCUCCAUCAUGCCCUAAUGAUUGUCCUGUUCAAUAAAAAAUGAUUUUUUUUGUGUCGACACUGUAUUUGUCGGCACUUGUAUGUAUAUUUUUUAAAACACCUUCAAAAAAUAUAGAUAUUUUAUGAUUAAAAAAAUAAAUAAUAUUUUAAUAGAUGUCGACACCGAUUCAAAAUUUUAAAAAUUUAAAAAAAAGUUACCGACAUGCUUUGGUUACUUACUGAGGCCGAUGAAAAUAAGUGAGAAAUUCGAAAGCAAGUGAAAGCCAUGGGAUGGAUCAUGGAAGUAUAUAAGAAACAAAUGGAAGAAUACAACAAAUCUGCAAAGGAAAAGGAGCAGCAACAAUAAAAAACUCUUUUUAAUGUUGAUGUUUGAACAUCAAUGUUUACCUUUCCUCGUGUCAAUUUAAUGCGAUUUUGAUUCUUC